GCUGCCUUAGCUCAGCUGGUAGAGCGCGUCCUUGGUAAGGACGAGGUCUCGGGUUCAAAUCCCGAAGGUAGCUCCA
rnacentral:tRNA from 1 species